AAACCCAGUGUGAUUCGUCACACUAUCAUUAACUGAAUCCAUAGGUUAAUGAGGCGAACCGGGGGAACUGAAACAUCUAAGUACCCCGAGGAAAAGAAAUCAACCGAGAUUCCCCCAGUAGCGGCGAGCGAACGGGGAGGAGCCCAGAGCCUGAAUCAGCAUGUGUGUUAGUGGAAGCGUCUGGAAAGGCGCGCGAUACAGGGUGACAGCCCCGUACACAAAAGCGCAUGUGCUGUGAGCUCGAUGAGUAGGGCGGGACACGUGGUAUCCUGUCUGAAUAUGGGGGGACCAUCCUCCAAGGCUAAAUACUCCUGACUGACCGAUAGUGAACCAGUACCGUGAGGGAAAGGCGAAAAGAACCCCGGCGAGGGGAGUGAAAAAGAACCUGAAACCGUGUACGUACAAGCAGUGGGAGCACCCUUUGGGUGUGACUGCGUACCUUUUGUAUAAUGGGUCAGCGACUUAUAUUCUGUAGCAAGGUUAACCGAAUAGGGGAGCCGGAGGGAAACCGAGUCUUAACCGGGCGUUAAGUUGCAGGGUAUAGACCCGAAACCCGGUGAUCUAGCCAUGGGCAGGUUGAAGGUUGGGUAACACUAACUGGAGGACCGAACCGACUAAUGUUGAAAAAUUAGCGGAUGACCUGUGGCUGGGGGUGAAAGGCCAAUCAAACCGGGAGAUAGCUGGUUCUCCCCGAAAGCUAUUUAGGUAGCGCCUCGUGAAUUCAUCUCCGGGGGUAGAGCACUGUUUCGGCUAGGGGGCCAUCCCGGCUUACCAACCCGAUGCAAACUGCGAAUACCGGAGAAUGUUAUCACGGGAGACACACGGCGGGUGCUAACGUCCGUCGUGAAGAGGGAAACAACCCAGACCGCCAGCUAAGGUCCCAAAGUCAUGGUUAAGUGGGAAACGAUGUGGGAAGGCCCAGACAGCCAGGAUGUUGGCUUAGAAGCAGCCAUCAUUUAAAGAAAGCGUAAUAGCUCACUGGUCGAGUCGGCCUGCGCGGAAGAUGUAACGGGGCUAAACCAUGCACCGAAGCUGCGGCAGCGACACUGUGUGUUGUUGGGUAGGGGAGCGUUCUGUAAGCCUGUGAAGGUGUGUCGUGAGGCAUGCUGGAGGUAUCAGAAGUGCGAAUGCUGACAUAAGUAACGAUAAAGCGGGUGAAAAGCCCGCUCGCCGGAAGACCAAGGGUUCCUGUCCAACGUUAAUCGGGGCAGGGUGAGUCGACCCCUAAGGCGAGGCCGAAAGGCGUAGUCGAUGGGAAACGGGUUAAUAUUCCCGUACUUGGUGUUACUGCGAAGGGGGGACGGAGAAGGCUAUGUUGGCCGGGCGACGGUUGUCCCGGUUUAAGCGUGUAGGUGUGUGUUCCAGGUAAAUCCGGUUCACUUUAACACUGAGGCGUGACGACGAGGCACUACGGUGCUGAAGCAACAAAUGCCCUGCUUCCAGGAAAA
rnacentral:rRNA from 1 species